GGUGAUGUGGCUCAAGUGGUAGAACAUUUGCCUAGCAAGUACAAGGCCCUGAGUUCAAAGCUCAGUAUCACCA
rnacentral:tRNA from 1 species